UGGCAAGCAUUGAAGGGCACAUGGUGGAUGCCUUGGCAUCAAGAGCCGAUGAAGGACGUUGGAGCCUGCGAUAAGCCCUGGGGAGUUGGCAACCGAGCUGUGAUCCGGGGGUGUCCGAAUGGGGAAACCUGGCUGGAGUCAUGUCCAGUCAUCUCCGUCUGAAUAAAAUAGGGCGGUAGAGGGGAACGCGGGGAAGUGAAACAUCUCAGUACCCGUAGGAAGAGAAAACAAUAGUGAUUCCGAGAGUAGUGGCGAGCGAAAUCGGAUGAGGCCAAACCAUGAUCGUGUGAUACCCGGCAGGGGUUGCGGUUGUGGGGUUGUGGGAGUGUUUGUCAUGCGUCUGCCGGCGUGUGGGGCAGUAAGAAAGUGUGGUUGAAGUUGAAGUCCGUUGGAAAGCGGCGCCGUAGAGGGUGAUAGCCCCGUAGUCGUAGGAUCAUGCCUGUCUAUAGCACAUCCCAAGUAACACGCCACCCCUGAAAUGGUGUGUGAAUCUGGCGGGACCACCCGUUAAGCCUAAAUACUUCUUGAUGACCGAUAGCGGACUAGUACCGUGAGGGAAAGGUGAAAAGUACCCCUGGCGGGGAGUGAAAUAGUACCUGAAACCGUGUGCCUACAAUCCGUCAGAGCCCAGCCAUCUCACAGCCAUGUGAGGCGUGGGGGUGAUGGCGUGCCUUUUGAAGAAUGAGCCUGCGAGUUUGCGGUGUGUUGCGAGGUUAACCCGUGUGGGGUAGCCGUAGCGAAAGCGAGUCCUAAUAGGGCGAUUCAGUAGCGCGCUCAAGACCCGAAGCGGAGUGAUCUAUCCAUGGGCAGGUUGAAGCGCGGGUAAGACCGCGUGGAGGACCGAACCCACUUAGGUUGAAAACUGAGGGGAUGACCUGUGGAUAGGGGUGAAAGGC
rnacentral:rRNA from 1 species